rnacentral:rRNA from 1 species
UACGUAGGGUGCGAGCGUUGCCCGGAUUUAUUGGGCGUAAAGGGCGCGUAGGCGGCCAGCACAAGUCAGUUGUGAAAUCUCCGGGCUUAACUCGGAAAGGUCAACUGAUACUGUGCGGCUAGAGUGCAGAAGGGGCAACUGGAAUUCUCGGUGUAGCGGUGAAAUGCGUAGAUAUCGAGAGGAACACCUGCGGCGAAGGCGGGUUGCUGGGCUGACACUGACGCUGAUGCGCGAAAGCCAGGGGAGCGAACGGG